GCCUGUUAAGGGAUUUUGUGAUUUUAUGAUGUUUUUCCUUUUUGAUACAUCUUCCUUUUUAAUGUUUCAUUUACUCAGUUCUCCUUAUAAUGCUCCAUUUACUCAUUUACUCAUAUGCUCCUGUUAAGAAAGGCUUGGAAAGCACAUAGUGUUCACAUAUCUUUAUGUUUUGUCUUUGCUUCUUCUCACACACAUACACAUAGUGUUCACAUAUCUUUAUGUUUUGUCUUUGCUUCUUCUCACACACAUACACAUGAGCCCCGCAGUAUUCGCUGACUCCUGUGAAAGUCUCUUGCAGACACCCUUGGAAACAGGACCCAACUGGCUUCUGUUUUCCUCGAGAUAGACAAUACACUCACACACACACACACACACACUGUGUCCUAUACAUGCCCAGAUUGUCUGUUAAAGCCUGAAAAAACAGGGAAUGUUGCGAUGUAUAAAUAAAGCUGACUGCAAAGCCUCGGUGUGGGUAUCGCCCGAUCACUCACCCGUGCGCACGUAGUUCUCUGAACAAAACUCUGACUGUUUCUGUAUUCUUUCAAUGUUUAAAAAUGUCUUGCCACUGACAUUUAAUUGGUCCUUCGAGCCGGAUAGUUUAUUGAUAUUAUUGUAUCAUCUAACUAUUCACAGACGGAGCCACCAGAUCCUGACGUCGUGACUACCUGCACUGCAACCACCGUUUCUAGCGAAGCGAGGAAAAGCCCAGAGUCGUACAUUCGCCUACUGGCCAGUGUCUUAUACAGGUCCACGACGCCAGGUUCUCGGUGACGCCGGGAAAAAGAACACAGCGCAACAUUGAAGGCUGCUUUGCUGGCCCUGAAAGCCGAGGCUGACCUGGACUCCUGCUCUCCCCUGUACCACCUUCGACGUGACCCUGACCAAAUGCUGCAGCAGCUGGACUUACAAAAACAAUUUCCUGCAAAUGUCAACAGGGCUGCAGAAAAGCGAUCUUAUGCAGCGGAGACGGAGAGCGUUAAAACCAAGGCCCGUUUCACUACACGGGGGAAAAUUCCCAGACAGCUUCAGCUGACAGAGCUGUGACGAGACGCCUGCCAAGCCGACAACUUAUGACAAGUAAGGCCGAGCAAAAGAAUGCUGACCUUAACAAUUCUGCAUUAACACUGUGCAGGACAGGGAUGGACCAACACGGCAGCAAAAAGGGCGUGCCAGAGACAGGAGGAGCAACUGAGGUCGAAUGGACAAAACACAGAAGAAGAUGCAGUUUUCACCUGCGGUGAGCAUGGACACUGGAGAAAAGGACUGUCCCAAUUGGGGCCAGAACCAGGACAAACUGAACUUUGAACAGCAGCAAUGGUGGCAAGCGGACUGAAAAGGAGGAGGGCAGGACCCCAGGGCACGCUUCAGGCUGUGGUUUACCCAGAACACCAGAACAGGAAAGUGAUGAACACACACACAUCUACAUACACCGAUUCAGAAUGAAGUGAAACACACACAUGAACACAUGUGCACUCGUUGAUAGAGGGAGAAAUGGCACACACACACGCUUAUGCAAUGAAGAAUGCUUUGCUCGCAAAUGCUUAUGCUGAUAUGCAAAAUGCUGCACACAAACAUCCCAAUACAUAAUUUUUAUGAGAAGCAAUUGAUUACUUAAAAUGUGUUUUAUGUCACCCAGAGGAUAUUUAUGUAGAUUUAAGGAACAAGGUCUAAAAUUGUCUGGUUAUGAAAACAAUGUCUGUGCGUGAGGUCUGUUUAUGGCUCAAGGUCUUGAUUGAAUUGUCUAUUGUGCUACACACUUCGUAAAUGAAGUAAUAUCAAAAGUCUCUGAAGCACUGGGCUUCAGUAUAAAACAUCACUUCUCAUAUCCCCCGCAGAGUACCUAUUACAAGUGAACCGAUAGACAAAUCCAUAAGAGAAACAACACUAGCAGAAUGGAUGACAAAACUGUUAGAAAAUAAAGAAAUAGUUUUGAACAAUCAACUGCCAGAUGAUUCUCUUCCAGUCUCUUCCAGGUUGAAACCAGGAGAUUGGAUCCUGAUAAAAGUGCUCCAGAGGAAAAAGUGGCAUUCCCCGAGGUGGGAAGGACCCUACCAACAGCCUGCAAAAUUGCUGAACGACCUUCCGGGAUUCAUCAGAGCCACUGUAAACAAGUGAGUGACAGCCCAUAGACACUGAGACGCCAGCACCCCUGCCUGUUAGUGAUCUGGGAGGUGGAGAGAGGGCUGUUUGGGUAAAUCCCGCCCUUGUUCUUCUCGCCCCUAGUCUACUCACUCACAGGACCAGGUGUGUUCGGUCAUCAUGAAGACCCUACUCGUUCUGGUGGCCAGUGUCACAAUUCUGUUGGGACUGCUGUCGCUGAUUUCAGAAGAAGAAGGACAAGAUUGACACAUGACGCAAUACAUCCAGACGACAUGACACAAGAUCACAACCACCCAUGGAUGAACAAUGCCUGGUACCGUUAUGUGUACAACUCCACAAGAGACAGAAACUAUUACAUCUGUUCGCACAUGCC